rnacentral:tRNA from 1 species
CAGAAUAGAGUUUGUAUAAAAUAUUCCCUUUACAUAGGAAGGAACCAUUUAAAUUAGGUGUUCUGA